rnacentral:ncRNA from 1 species
CAACUUAAAAGAACGUCAGGUCUUUCGCAUGUCGAAAGUGAAGAGGGAAGUCCGGUGCAAAUCCGGCGCGGUCCCGCCACUGUAAGUGGGGAGUGACGCUGUCAAGACCACUGUUCGCACUUCGUCAAACGGCUAACAGCUUAACGACGGCAAGUGAACGGGAAGGGACGGUCGAACGAUGAUCCACAAGCCAGGAGACCUGCCUGUCGUUCGUGACGGCU